AGUAAACUUUUCCAGUAUACUCCUAGGAGUAAACUUUCUGUGCUGGAGUAGGAAUUGCUCUCAGGAGUAGCAGUAGUGAUUUGUUUAACAGUAGCAACGACAGCAGUGCAUAUCAAUUUAUCAUGAUGACAACAGUAGUGCACACCAAUUUGGAACUGAUUUGUUGCUUCUCCCCUGCAUAUCAAUUUAUCAUGAUAACAACAGUAGUGCACACCAGUAAGUUAGUCUGAUGCUAGACUAGACGCCUCUUUAUGCAAGUUUAUUGUCAUGUAUAUUUAUAUGUAUAAAGUCGAAUCAAGUAGUAACAUGUGAAAAACACUUGCACUGGUGUAUGUAAGGAGUCAAGUACAUGUUUGUUACAGCAGGGUAGAGUAGAUGUUUGUGUUACCAUCCAGUCCACUGACAACAUGUUUCUGUUAUUGUGGUGCUUUCUUAACUCACUGCCAUCUACAUUCUGUUCUUUUUUUAUCAUCUGUCGAGAAACUAUUGUGAUGAUUUGAUGCCCAUCUGGUGACUAUUUAUGUCUUUAGUGUCAAUCGAUGUUGCAUAAUCUGAUUUGGACACCUAGGUUCUUGCAUGGUUCUUAGAUUAAUUGUUCUGUUUUGUUGUUAGCAAAUAUUGCUUAUAUUAAGACUAUAAACAUGUGACUAUUCCUCUCAUUUACAGGAGUUCUGGGCUGAAGACAUUCGAAGAAGCCCGAAGCCCCAGUCAACAACUUGCUUUAUAUAUUACUGAAUUUGUAAUGCUAAUAUUCUUGAGAAAUUUGAUGUACUGCUGAACAUGCUGGGAAUUUGAUGUAUAUUUGCUCGCUGAACUUGAUGUAUACUUGCUUGCUGAACUCAGAAUAUUACUUUUUAUUCACUUGAAA
rnacentral:lncRNA from 1 species